UACGUAGGUGACCAGCGUUGUCCGGAUUUACUGGGCGUAAAGAGCGCGCAGGCGGUCGUUCAAGUCGAGUGUGAAAGCCCCCGGCUCCAACUGGGGAGGUCAUUCGAUACUGAUCGACUUGAAGGCAGGGAGAGGGAAGUGGAAUUCCCGGUGUAGCGGUGAAAUGCGCAGAUAAUCAGGAGGAACACCGGUGGCGAAGGCGGGUCUCGUGGGCCGAUACUGACGCUGAGACGCGAAAGCGUGGGGAGCAAACAGG
rnacentral:rRNA from 1 species